rnacentral:rRNA from 1 species
GGAUGAACGCUGGCGGCGUGCCUAAUACAUGCAAGUCGAGCGAACAGACGAGGAGCUUGCUCCUCUGACGUUAGCGGCGGACGGGUGAGUAACACGUGGAUAACCUACCUAUAAGACUGGGAUAACUUCGGGAAACCGGAGCUAAUACCGGAUAAUAUAUUGAACCGCAUGGUUCAAUAGUGAAAGACGGUUUUGCUGUCACUUAUAGAUGGAUCCGCGCCGCAUUAGCUAGUUGGUAAGGUAACGGCUUACCAAGGCAACGAUGCGUAGCCGACCUGAGAGGGUGAUCGGCCACACUGGAACUGAGACACGGUCCAGACUCCUACGGGAGGCAGCAGUAGGGAAUCUUCCGCAAUGGGCGAAAGCCUGACGGAGCAACGCCGCGUGAGUGAUGAAGGUCUUCGGAUCGUAAAACUCUGUUAUUAGGGAAGAACAAAUGUGUAAGUAACUAUGCACGUCUUGACGGUACCUAAUCAGAAAGCCACGGCUAACUACGUGCCAGCAGCCGCGGUAAUACGUAGGUGGCAAGCGUUAUCCGGAAUUAUUGGGCGUAAAGCGCGCGUAGGCGGUUUUUUAAGUCUGAUGUGAAAGCCCACGGCUCAACCGUGGAGGGUCAUUGGAAACUGGAAAACUUGAGUGCAGAAGAGGAAAGUGGAAUUCCAUGUGUAGCGGUGAAAUGCGCAGAGAUAUGGAGGAACACCAGUGGCGAAGGCGACUUUCUGGUCUGUAACUGACGCUGAUGUGCGAAAGCGUGGGGAUCAAACAGGAUUAGAUACCCUGGUAGUCCACGCCGUAAACGAUGAGUGCUAAGUGUUAGGGGGUUUCCGCCCCUUAGUGCUGCAGCUAACGCAUUAAGCACUCCGCCUGGGGAGUACGACCGCAAGGUUGAAACUCAAAGGAAUUGACGGGGACCCGCACAAGCGGUGGAGCAUG